UUGGGGUGGAGGUGGACGUGUGAUGAGAGCUGGAACAACCUCUGUGGUGGACUUGAAGAAAUCACACCAGGAGUGAGGUCCUCCAGUUUUACGCGCAGGAUGGUGAAGGUGGACAGAUGUUCACAUCGUGCCUCCAUGUGCUGACAUUGACAGGGACUCCAUUAAGAUUGUUUCCAGCAGAUGCUGUCACAGAAGACAGAAGAAUUCACAGAUGUGGCGGUAAAACAAUAAAGCAGGUGUUCAUGAUGUGUUUUGUGUGGAAAACAAGCAGAGUUUGUCUCUGUCCCCCGUAGACGAGUGGACUCGUUCUGCUACUGUCCUGUGUCAUUACGUCUCCGUGCCUUGCGACUUGACCUCUGUGGUUUGAUUGACGUCCCCGGCUCUGACCCCGUCCCCCCCCGUCCCCCGCGUGUCUGACCGUCUGUCCUCGCUCCUCCACACUCUGUCUUGUCUGUCAG